CGUAGGGACCGAGCGUUGUCCGGAUUCAUUGGGCGUAAAGAGCUCGUAGGCGGCUGCUCAAGUCGAAUGUGAAAACUCGAGGCUCAACCUCGAGCCUGCAUUCGAUACUGGGCGGCUAGAGUCUGGUAGGGGGAUCUGGAAUUCCUGGUGUAGCGGUGGAAUGCGCAGAUAUCAGGAGGAACACCGGUGGCGAAGGCGGGAUCCUGGGCCAGUACUGACGCUGAGGAGCGAAAGCGUGGGGAGCAAACAGGAUUAGAUACCCUGGUAGUCCACGCCGUAAACGAUGGGCGCUAGGUGUGGGAGGUCAUCGACUUCUUCCGUGCCGCAGCUAACGCAUUAAGCGCCCCGCCUGGGGAGUACGGCCGCAAGGCUA
rnacentral:rRNA from 1 species